ACUAUGAUUUGAACGCACAUCCUAACUUUUUUUUUUGACAUUUGUCAUCUGUCAUCUGUCAAAUUAUCAAUCUAUUGACACUGACAGGUCGGCUUUCAUAAUUAUUUGUUAAAUUAAAUUUGUUUAUUGUUUUAUUGAAUUCAACGCAGUGAUAUUUGCCUACGGAUACCAACGCCAAGGCCCACGGAUGGAGAGGUCGCCAGUGGUGCCUUAAUAAGUGGAAGGAACUAGCCAAGCUCAAUAGCGAAGGGACGGGACAAGGAGUGAUAAGCAAAGGAGAAAAUUAAACAUGAAACAUAACAUUAAACAUAUAAGGUUGUCAUGACAGAUUAUCCCCUCGUCUCUCAAUGAUUUCCUAAUACCUAGGUACUCUUUAAAAAGCAUUAACUAGUUACCUUGAGAUAAAGCAUCGGCAGUACUCAUGUUUCUUUGAAAUAGUUAGUAGUUAUAUUCUUAUUCUUAAUGAUGCAAUUAUCAUUUGUUUUGCAGGUAUGGAGUGAUUAUAAGAAUAAAUACAAAGAGAAAAUGCUCCCAAAUUGCCUAAGGGGGCACAGUGAAUGGUUGAUGGUUCAGCCCUAAAAUGGAUAUGUCAGAUUGAAAGCUGCCGGUGAAUGCUAUAUAAUUGAUGUGAUGAGAUAUAGAAUCAGCAUGGAACAUGUGCCAGGUACGAGGAGCCAGCCCAAUCCAGCUAUACCAGCGUAUCCUGUACCCAGCAUCACGGACCAGGCCACCGCCUGCAAGUGCACCCCCGUGAAGGCAUAAAUUAUAAGUGUACAUUUUGAUUGCUCGGUGAAGAAUACAUUUAGGAGAAAAGAUAAAUCAUACAUUUUGUUAUACUAUGCUGAUGUUUGCAAAUGUUACAUGAUACUACCUACUAAGAUAAAUAUGUUUUUUUAGUAAAAUAAAGAAUAAAAAACUGUUAAACAGAA